rnacentral:sRNA from 1 species
ACUCACCUGUCCCAUUCUUCCACGCCCUGAGGGCCGCGGCUCUGGAAACGGGGAUACAGGAGCCUGGCGGCGCCGAAGCACCCGCGCAGGCCAAGACGGCUCCCCAGGCCCCACACAGCCAUGAGCCAGGCUGCUUGACGGGAGCUGACCCCGCCAGGUUCCCGUCCAAUCCCCGGGGUGACUCCACCCACAACUGGCCGCGCCACCCCUCAGGAUUCCCAGGAGCCAUGUUGUCAGAAGUCCUACUGGUGUCUGCUCCGGGGAAAGUCAUCCUUCAUGGAGAACAUGCCGUGGUACAUGGCAAGGUAGCACUGGCUGUAGCCUUGAACUUGAGAACAUUCCUCCGGCUUGAACCCCACAGCAAUGGGAAAGUGGACCUCAGCUUACCCAACAUUGGUAUCAAGCGGGCCUGGGAUGUGGCCGGGCUUCAGUCACUAGACACAAGCUUUCUGGGUGGACCAGGGAGGAUUUGGAGCUAAUUAACAAGUGGGCCUUCCAAGGGGAGAGAGUGAUUCACGGGAACCCCUCCG